GUUUUCUAACCUCCCAUCUCUUUCUCUUUUAAAAACCCUUCUUAGUUUGUAAUAAACAUUACAGUUUGGAGUACCAACAUCCUAUUGAGAUCCUUAUAAUUUGUGUCGAUAUGAAGUUACAUUACACUGACAGAUUAAGGAGAUGUAAAUCACUAGUGAUAAUGAAUUAUUGAACGAAAGUGAAGGAGUGAAGGAACUUAAUUGAUGAAGAAGCCAUGAAAUUUUUAGAAGUUUAUAAUUGAAGACCAUAUUUUUAAUAAUUUUGGGGUUCCCACUAGAUGAAGAGAAGAGUUUUGAAGAAAUUUUAUAGAAAGAAAAGGUCAGGAAUGAUCAAAAUCCAUUAAGAAGGACUGAUGCAUUAUUUUAAGACAUUAUGAGAAGACACCACAACAUGGCCAUCAUCUCCAUGUCAUGGCAUUUGAUAUUAUCUCGGUUGCAUCAGACCAGUUACCAUGAUGUGGCAUCAUUUGACCACGCCGUGGCAAUCUUAUAUGUCGCGAUCAUGACGAUUUCAAACACGACACCAUGACGUGGCAUUUCUUUCCCAUGUUGUGUUUGAGGUUUAACAUACUUUUUGAAGAAUGGUUCUUUGGUUUAUUUUGAUCCAUCUUAUUUAAUUCACAAGAAGAAGGCAUAAAAGUACUGUUACCAAUCAUUAUACGAGAAUUCUGAGCUUUACCACAUAAGUUCCAGAAUUCGAUCUCACCACUACUAUCCUAGGGGAGUCUGUUCCAAUUUCUCCUAUUUAGUUCUAUCUUCUUUAAAUGUUUAAGCAUGCAAUGGGGACAUUGCAUCAAUUAAGUGUGGGGUAGGGGUCAGAUAUAGGAAUGCAAGCAUACUGAGAAAAAAUUGAAAAAUUACUAGAACUUAAAAAAUUAUUAUACAGAUUUUAAAAAAUAAUCUAAAAACUAAAUCUAGUUAUAAAAUUGUUGUAUUGUUGUGUUGAGACCUAGGUUGCUAGUGUAUUUGUGGCUUCCCUGUCCUAGUGAAAUCAUGGAACAAAAACACAACCUUGCUUAGUUUGAGGGCCAUAAUAUGUUUAGCAUCGUGUA